CCUGGUUGAUCCUGCCAGUAGUGAUAUGCUUGUCUCAAAGAUUAAGCCAUGCAUGUCUCAGUGCAAGCCAAUCUAAGGUGAAACCGCGAAUGGCUCAUUAAAUCAGUUAUGGUUCAUUGGACAUUACUACUUUACUUGGAUAACUGUGGUAAUUCUAGAGCUAAUACAUGCUACACGAGUUCCGACCAGUAAUGGAAGGAACGCUUUUAUUAGAUCAAAACCAAUCGGUCGGGUUCGACCCGGCCGUUGAAUUUUGGUGACUCUGGAUAACUUUGGGCUGAUCGCACGGUCUCCGCACCGGCGACGGACCUUUCAAAUGUCUGCCUUAUCAACUGACGAUGGUAGGCUCUGUGCCUACCAUGGUUGUAACGGGUGACGGGGAAUCAGGGUUCGAUUCCGGAGAGGGAGCCUGAGAAACGGCUACCACAUCCAAGGAAGGCAGCAGGCGCGCAAAUUACCCACUCCCGGCACGGGGAGGUAGUGACGAAAAAUAACGAUACGGGACUCAUCCGAGGCCCCGUAAUCGGAAUGAGAACACUUUAAAUCCUUUAACAAACACUAUCAGAGGGCCAGUCUGGUGCCAGCAGCCGCGGUAAUUCCAGCUCUGAUAGCGUAUAUUAAAGUUGCUGCGGUUAAAAAGCUCGUAGUUGGACAUGUGUCCCGCGCUGCCGGUUCACCGCUCGUCGGUGUCUAACUGGCACGCAUGCGGGACGUCCUGCUGGUGGAGGCGAGCCGACGUCGGGCGCGCGCUUCUAUGCGCCGAGCGGUAAGCGGAGUUUUCGUCGUAUCGAGCAAUCGUGCGACGGACCCCCCCGCCCCGUUCGGAUUGCGGUCGCGCGUUAGCUCUUCGAAGGCGGACCCCGUUGUCACCCGCCGCGGUGCUCUUGACUGAGUGUCGCGCGGGCCGGCACGUUUACUUUGAACAAAUUAGAGUGCUCAAAGCAGGCCCUUGACUGCCUGAAUACUGUGUGCAUGGAAUAAUGAAAUAGGACCUCGGUUCUAUUUUGUUGGUUUUCGGAGCUCGAGGUAAUGAUUAAUGGGGAUUGCCGGGGGCAUCCGUAUUGCGACGUUAGAGGUGAAAUUCUUGGAUCGUCGCAAGACGAACUGCAGCGAAAGCGUUUGCCAAGUAUGUUUUCUUUAAUCAAGAACGAAAGUUAGAGGUUCGAAGGCGAUCAGAUACCGCCCUAGUUCUAACCAUAAACUAUGCCAUCUAGCGAUCCGCUGUGUGUCUUAGAUGUCACGGCGGGCAGCCCCCGGGAAACCAAAGAUUUUGGGUUCCGGGGGAAGUAUGGUUGCAAAGCUGAAACUUAAAGGAAUUGACGGAAGGGCACCACCAGCAGUGGGGCCUGCGGCUUAAUUUGACUCAACGCGGGGUAUCCUACUAGGCCCGGACACUCGAAGGAUUGACAGAUUGAGAGCUCUUUCUUGAUUGGGUGCGUGGUGGUGCAUGGCCGUUCUUCGUUGGUGGGGCGACUUGUCUGCUUAAUUGCGAUAACGAACGAGACUCUAGCCUGCUAACUAGUCGAUACCGGCAUCCUAUGUGCAGCCGGCGACAAUACAUCUUCUUAGAGGGACAGGUGGUGUAUAGCCACACGAGAAUGAGCAAUAACAGGUCUGUGAUGCCCUUAGAUGUUCUGGGCCGCACGCGCGCCACACUGAAGGGAUCAGCGUGUGUUUUCCUAGUCCGAGAGGACCGGGUAACCCGUUGAACCUCCUUCGUGCUAGGGAUUGGGGCUUGCAAUUAUUCCCCACGAACGAGGAAUUCCUAGUAAGCGCGAGUCAUAACCUCGCGUUGAUUAUGUCCCUGCCCUUUGUCCACACCGCCCGUCGCUACUACCGAUUGAAUGAUUUAGUGAGGUCUUCGGACCAGUGCGCGGCUUUCGGAAUUUUUUUCGAAAACCGAUGCUACCGGAAAGAUGACCGAACUUGAUUAUUUAGAGGAAGUAAAAGUCGUAACAAGGUUCCCGUAGGUGAACCUGCGGGAG
rnacentral:rRNA from 1 species